CCCGGCUAAUUUUUGUAUUUUCAGUAGAGAUGGGUGAUCCACCUGCCUCGGCCUCCCAAAGUGCUGGGAUUACAGGCAUGAGCCACCGUGCCUGGCCGAUAAUUAUUCUAAAUUUUGAUACAAUAAUAAUUUGUUUCCUAUAAUAAUAUAAUAAUUAUAAAUUUCCAUCUCGCAAAUAACAAAGGUACAAAAUACAUAAAGCUAAACUUGGUGGCUCAUGGCUCACACCUAUAAUCCCAGCACUUAGGGAAGCCAAGGCUGGAGGAUCACUUGAGCCCAGGAGUUUGAGAUCAGCCUGUCAACAUAGUGAGACGUCAUCUCUACAAAAAAUUUAAAAGGCCGGACAUGGUGGUAUGCACCUACAGUCCCAGCUUCUUUGGAGGCUGAGGCAGGAGGAUUCUUCGAGCCUAGAAGUUUGAGUUUGCAGUGAGCUAUGAUCGUGCCACUGCACUCCAGCCUGGGAGACAGAAUGAGACCCUGUCACUAAAAUAAAAUAAAAUAAAUCCACCAUCGGAGUAGGAUAUUUUAAUACAUCUUUUGCAGUAAUUGAUAGAGAGGGCACACAAAAUUCGGUAGGGAUUUAGAUGAUUUCACCAUAAGCUUGAUCAAAGUGAUGUAGAUAUAUUUAUAUAGGCCUGUGUAUGUGUGUGUGCAUAUGUGUAUUGGAGAAUACACAUUCUUUUCAAGGUACAAAUUUACUACAUACUAGGUCAUAAAGCAAGUCUCAAAAACAUUUCAAAAAAAAUCAGUAUUAUAGAGAUUAUAUUAAAGGACCAAAAUCCAAGAAAGUUAGAAAUCAUCAAGUCUCGUGGAAAUUUGAAAACAUACUUUUUUUUUU
rnacentral:lncRNA from 10 species